ACAAGGGGCUGAGGAUGUAGCUCAGAAGAGUAUUUGUGUAGCAUGUGUGAAGCUCUGGGUUCUAUCCCCAGAUCACAUAAAUCAGGAACUUUGGCCAACAUUCCUCAAGGACAAAGGGGACACUGUUUCGAUUGGCCUGGUCAGGAGACACUACCUACAGGAUACAAUGUGUUUGUUAAAAGGAACUGAUAUUGAAGCUAGAUGUGGUGGCCCUCUACCUCUGGCUACAAUACCAGAAUUCUACAGAUUGAGGCAGGAGGAUUGCCAUGGAUUUGAU